rfam:Erysipelotrichaceae bacterium NYT-BL-A4 NODE_31_length_22629_cov_189.906_ID_61, whole genome shotgun sequence.
GCACUGCGUAGAAGUGCGAGGUUGCUGACCCACUGAAAAGCGUUGUCAUGGGUGAGUCAGGUAAUUCGCAUGGAGCAUGUUUAUCUAGAAUAAACGAAAGGAGCAA